rnacentral:lncRNA from 1 species
CUUAGAAAAGGAUCAGACUGUUACUGUAUUAUGUUUUGAUUCUCUCAUUAGCCAGUUGUGUAUCUGUGGGCCCAAUUGCUAAAUCCUAGGUAAUGCCAUUUACUGGAAGUUGUUUUUUUUUUUUUUUUAAUGACAGCAAAUGUAAGAUAUACUUAAAGCUUGUUAUAGAAUAUAGUGGUCUUAAAAGAUAGUGGUCUGCUCGCCUCUUUCUCAGAUUCUCCAAUAUAUAAAUAAUUGAUAUUGGAAAGUAUUGUGAUUCUUUUAACUCUGUUAACAUUUCUUUUUAAUUUUAAAUACACAAAAUUAAAAUUUUAUAAUGCUNNNCUGUCCCUUCCCUUUGUCUUCUAACCCACAAAUGACAUUAUUUUCUUAGGAGAAGCUUCUUUCUUGUCUCUCUUCCUGAGAUGUCUUCAACAAACCACUGAUGAUGGACAAAUACAAAACCAAACUCUCUUUCCCUAUACCUGUGGUCCUCAACUGCAGAACUGUUGGCAUGCAAGGUCAGGUCCUUCAGUCCUUCAGACCCGUCUUUGCCCUCCAUUCCCUGAUAUUCCACUUCCUUCUUUGUAAGUGACCUCCAUCAGCCAGAUGCCCAUCCAAAGGAAAACUGCCAAGCAAAAGAACUUCUUGCAAAACUCCUCAUAAAUUCUUAAAAGUCUCCUCCUAGUCAGGAGGUCUACCUAAAACAACAAUAAAAAAAGAUGGUAACAAUAACCCUGUAUGCGAGACAGCAAAAGAGACACAG